GCGGAAGGAUCAUUACUAGAGCAAAGGAUAGACAGCGCCCGCGGAGCUCGCUCCCGGGGCUACCCUACUCCCGUAGGGUUUAGAGUCGUCGGGCCUCUCGGAGAAGCUCGGUCCUGAACUCCACCCUUGAAUAAACUACCUUUGUUGCUUUGGCGGGCCGCCUCGUGCCAGCGGCUUCGGCUGUUGAGUGCCCGCCAGAGGACCCCAACUCUUGUUUUUAGUGAUGUCUGAGUACUAUAUAAUAGUUAAAACUUUCAACAACGGAUCUCUUGGUUCUGGCAUCGAUGAAGAACGCAGCGAAAUGCGAUAAGUAAUGUGAAUUGCAGAAUUCAGUGAAUCAUCGAAUCUUUGAACGCACAUUGCGCCCUCUGGUAUUCCGGGGGGCAUGCCUGUUCGAGCGUCAUUAUAACCACUCAAGCUCUCGCUUGGUAUUGGGGUUCGCGGUUUCGCGGCCCCUAAAAUCAGUGGCGGUGCCUGUCGGCUCUACGCGUAGUAAUACUCCUCGCGAUUGAGUCCGGUAGGUCUACUUGCCAGCAACCCCUAAUUUUUUUUCAAGGUUGACCU
rnacentral:rRNA from 1 species